CAUUGGCAUUGUAAUCGGCAAAUAAAUGACUGAUAUAAUUCGCAAGUGGUUUCUAACUAUUUAUCACGUGCAGUGCAUCUGUUUGCGAAGACGCUACUUCAAUUCGAAGUGAAAAUGCUUAGCUACGGAUUACAAUGUUUGGUCGAAGUGUACAGUCGAACAAAUCUACUAAAAGUUUCGAGAAUCGACUACUAAUAUCGGCACAAAUACGCAUCGUAACUUAUCAUGGUUUGAUGCUUGAAGAUGAAGCUUCCGAAUUUCGAUCAACGAUGGAUAUAGGAUACCCAAUGGAAAAUGGCACGAUAGCAGAGCAGAGACAUCUGGGUUAACACGCGUAUUCCCUGAGGACCAAUGCUGAAAAUUUCCUACGUGUGGCAAUAAUACCCGCUGCAGACUGACUAAGGAAUACAUUGUCGCUCUAGUUUUUCAAGAUAUACCGAGUAACCGGAAAAAGCCGUUUAAAGCUAUUUUCGGUCACAAUCAACUGUCUGUUGUCGUCGUCGUCAUAUGUUCUAAACAAUGGGCAUUCAGGCAAAAAUAUCAAUGGCAAGGCUAUUGGUUGAGACUUAAUGAGCUAUAAAAGCGUUUGAUAUUCUACAAAGGCAGGAUCAAGGAUGUUUCGUAAAAGCUUUUACGUAUAUCAUCUGUCGCUAUGCACUUACUAUCAUGCAUAAUAAAUUGUAAGUUGUUUAACAAAGUUGAGCAAUAAUGAAACAUGACAAGGUAACUAGUAACUCAGUAAAAUCAAAUAACAAAUAUUAUGAAGUUAUAUAGUGAAGCAUGAGAUUAUAAACUGUUACUGGUUUAAUUAUGGCAAUGACAGGUGCGUAAUUGUCAUUACUACUACACGUUUGGAUCUGAGAAAAUGAACUUCGACCGAGGAACCGCAAAAUCCUUUUGAUUGAACUCGCAAUGAACCCUAUCAAGCACAGGGAGAAAAUAUUCGAGCUGAUGUUUGGCCAUAACCCGCUCAAUGCAACGUACCUCUCUGUACAAGUUGUUUUCAUACUGUGGGCGCAAUGCCUAAAUAUCGAUACGUGAGGCCAAAAGAAGCUUAGCAUAGAUGUGUUCAACUAUUGAUUGUCAAGCUCAAGUGGUAAAGUCGGAAAGUCAGCGUGUUUCGUACAAUUCAGCUUUAUAGUUACAACUUUUUUUGAAGAUUUAAAGUAAAUAAGUAAAAAGUGCCUAAAAGAAGAAAAAGAAAUAUUAUGUAUUAUUUUGUUACAAAUAUAAAAUAUUUUCAGAUCGAUACAAGAUUAUCAGGUUGCGGAAUGAAUUUUGACGAUUUUUGUUAUUGUUCCCCGUUCUAAACAUUCUUUCUAGUGAAGGUGAAAAUUUUGUAGAGAUUUUGAGUUAGAUGUGAUCGGUGCUUUGUACGUAUUACAAAAACUACUCCUAACUUGAGCUCCAAAAUUUAUAUAUUAACUUCUAUAGAAUCUAUAACUUCUUCCUCGGACCCAACAAUCGGCUCGCUUUGGUGAAAAACCGCAGAUGACAAAUUGGGCACAAAAACUGCUAGGGCACAAAAUAAGGGUAUGAAAAACCUCACAUAUAACAUUUACUUCAUAGCCAAAACUCGAAACAAAAUAUUGUUUCGAAUGCUCUAUAGAACAGACUCAUAGUGCAGAAUAAAGCUUAUCGACGGUGAUCAUCGAACGGCACAAGUUGGAAAGGAAACCAAGAGAGUAAUUUAUAUGACAAGCUAGCGUUAUUUCUAAAGUGUUUGCACAGUUUGCGUAUGCUAAUACUUGUGGAAUCUUUUAGGAAUCGUUGUGUGUUCAGACGAUGGUGUGAGAUACAUUUCCACUUCCACUUUUUUUUUUUUUUUUGGCUUUUGACCACUUCAUCUCACUAAACGCUUGGAUAUCGCCAAC